GAUAAACGCUGGCGGCGUGCCUAACACAUGCAAGUCGAACGUCCUUCGCGCAAGCGGAGGGAGUGGCGGACGGGUGAGUAACACGUGGGCAAUCUACCUUUCGGUGAGGAAUACCGGCGAGAAAUCGCCGACAAGACCGCAUACGCUGGGGCAACCGAGCAAAGUCGCAAGACGCCGGAGGAGGAGCCUGCGCCCGAUUAGCUAGUUGGUGGGGUAAGAGCUUACCAAGGCGACGAUCGGUAGCUGGUCUGAGAGGAUGAUCAGCCACACUGGGAUU
rnacentral:rRNA from 1 species